GGCCGGAUAAGGCGUCUACGCCGCAUCCGGCAAUCAGCGCCUGAUGUGACGCUUACGCGUCUUAUCCGGCA
rnacentral:ncRNA from 1 species